rnacentral:lncRNA from 1 species
UCUAUGCCAUCAGUCCAUCAAAAUAAGUGUUUUAUUCAAGCAAGUUCUUAGAGUUAUAGUUGGAUAAGAAAUUACAAAUACAAGCGUAGAUUAGCUAAUAGCUAAUAUUAUUGUUCGAACAGUAGAAAGCUUGAUCAGAAGAAGGAGGUUUUAACUAGCUAGAGUUCAAGAUUUUGCCGAAGCAAGAAUUUUUGCUCUUAGACCUUUGAGAUAGGUCAACAUUGCACUGCGAUCAGGAAAGGUCUCUUUGAUUAUGGGAAUCUCUUUGAACCUUUGAAUCCAUGCAUGUAAGCGAGGGAGGGUUUCGGCUUCAAUCACUUUCACCCCAGCUAUGUCACUCAUGUCAUACAGCCACCAAGCUAGCCACCCGAAUACUAAAUCAGCCAUUCCAAUCUCAUCUCCUCCGAAAAACUUCUUGUCUCCGAGUCCCUGCUCUUCCAAGAUUCUCAGCUGCUCCUGCGUUUCUUCUGUUGCUUUCACUUGUUGUUCUCCCUCAGUUAUGAGGAAACUAUACAGGGCUUGGGUCUUUGUCACACAAAACCUGUAUGUUAGUUCAAGUUGGAUAUAGUUCGGUCUGUUUAUGUUAUAUUGUUAGACCGUGAAUUGUCAACUAGUUAUAUAAACAAACAUGCAUGCAUUGCGACAAUCGAAUCAUUUCACAACAAAACGUAGUAAAAAUAGUUGAGUGAUCAUUCAUUCAUUACCUUGUCCUCUCCGAACUUGGUCCAGAACCGGGCCAAAGCUCGUUGAUGAGGGUCUUUAGGAAGCAAGGGGUUCUGCGGCCAUGUCUCUUCAAUGUACUCAAGAAUGACGUUAGACUCUACGAUUGGUUUUCCGGCAUGAACAAGAACCGGGACCUUCUUAUGGACUGGGUUGUAUUUCAGAAGAAGAUCACUCUUGGUUUGUAACACAUUCUCUUCAACAUACUCGUAGUCUACACCCUUGAGUUUAAGUGCCCAGAUAACCCUGUAAACAUAUGGACUCGACCAAAAUCCUAACAAUGUAACUUGUGCCAUUUUUGCUGGUUCUGUUAUGAUCAUGGAUUGGUUUCUACAUGUACAAUUAUAUGCCUCACAUUCAACUUGUGUAUCUUGAUAAGGUAUAGAGGUAUAUAUAUAGAGGCCAUUUUGUCCUUUGUUUGCUAUUGCUGACUUUUCUUUUUCAGAUGCAAGUUUGCAUACAGAGAUAAAAUAUCUUUAACAAAAACAAAAAAACUUGACAAGCGAGCCAUACUAGACCAUUAAUCUUCCUAAAGUUGACCACAAAUUUUGACUACAAAUUUGACAAGUACAACAACGCCAAUCCAGGUAAUGAAGAGGGAAAGAGACACACAUUGUUUACAGAAAUGGAAGACGUGAUGAAGCUUGUAUUGUAAACAUGACAUGGACAUAUCAUAAAAGUUCUUGUAAUUGGAAUUCCGGAUUAAAUUAUACACAUAUUGGCCGUGUUUGAUUAGCCGGAUAUAAGGCCCAGACACGAUAAAAAUUUACCUAUCUGCUCACAUGUCAUGUUUGGUGAUGCAGAUAUGGUUGAGUCAGAAAAUUUUAUUCCCGUCAGACAUGGAUUAGAAAUCCAUCUAAAAAGGUGUUAUUAAAAUUAUCCGGCUUCAUUUCGACAAACGCCGAAACCACCCACAGCCACAGCUUCUCUUCCACAAAAGCUUCUCUUAUGCAAUCGAAAACGACUGCCUUUGACCGUUUUUAACCGUCGCUGAUCUCGUUUCCAACUUUUUUCAAGUUAAGUUUCCUUCAGAUCUAACUCUUGUUUGUGCCUUCCGAUCUGUAGCUGAUGUUCUGUAUGAGAUUCAAAUUUUGAUGGAGUUUUUUCUCUUUUAUUUGGUAUUAUGAAUUCAAUUAAUGGGUAAUAUGAAUUUUGAAUAAAUUGAGAUAUGUGUCCCGUUGGUUAUAAGAUCUGGGCUCAUGGCAUCAAGUUCUUGUAAAGGUUUCUCUUCUGAUAAGUUAUCUCUCGAUAAUUCUUGUGGCUAUGGUUGAAAUUGGUCACUUCCUGUUGUCUCUACUAAUAUUGGUGUUGGCCAGGUUUGAUGAAAGAAAUUACUCUAACAUGAAUGAAAUUGUAAGACAAAAUUGAGCUGAUUGAUCGAGUAGAUUGCUCCAACAUGAAUGAUAUACGAAUUGGGAAUAUAUGAUGUAAUUAGUAUCUUGUAUGGGGGAGGCUAAGGCUUAGUGAAUUUAUAUGUAAAGAUGGUUCCUGCACCCUCACUAUCAUCAGUCACUUAUGCAUUCGUCCCAUAAAGAAUUUCGAUAGUGAGAAGUGUAGAAGAUCAGUUUAGAGAUCAAUGGCCUCUUUUGCAGGUUUGUUGAUCUUGUUCAAUACUUGGUCAUCUCUUUAUUAUAUGCAAUAUGAGUGUUCUGUAUCUUCUGGUAAACAUUGUUAUUACUUGAUCACUUUGGUUUCGGUUAUGUUUGCUGGCCACCUUGGUGAGCUUAAGUUUGCUGGCCAAUUCGUGGGCCGUUGUCACUGGAUUUGCUUUCAUGGUAAGAUAACUCUCUAUGUACUUGCUCUAUCAUGUUGCUUCAAAUUAAUCUGUAUUUCCUUUCAAAUUUAGUAUGUAGGAAAUUGGAUAGAGCAGUGAUGGAGUGCUAUUCCCUAAUUCAUAUCUGAUAUAGAAGUGUUGGUUAUUAGAUAUGCUUUAGCACCUGAUUUGGGGUACUGUUUUUCAAAUUAUGUUUCCACCCUUCUCACAUUAAGCAUUUUCUUUGUCUUCUGGUAUCCGAGAGUGACUUCAAUUCUUAUGUGAGAAGAAACGUGGAAGGUCUUUCUUGAUUUUAUUCAGAGGACAGAGGUGGCUUACCAUUUUCCUGAUUGUAGUUUAAACAUGAUAUCGAGAUACUUUAGUUAUUUCUUUGCUUUGAUCUUUUAUGUUAAAUGUUUGUUUACGUUGAUCACUUGUAUCUAUAAUAUGAUAGUAAUAAUAAUGAUUGGGGGAAGAGGAAAAUGAUUUGGACAACAGUAGUACUAGAAUUUAUUUCCCAUGAACUUAUAGAUAUUCCUUAUCACAAUAAUGCUAAUGGUGAACUGUAUGGUAAUAUAUAUAUAUAUAUAUAUAUAUAUAUAUAUAUAUAUAUAUAUAUAUAUAUGAACAGCCAAAUCAAAAACGAAAAUGAAUUUACACUAUCAAUUGUGUUUAGGUUGGGUUGACUGGAGCACUUGACACCCUGUGUCGGGAAGGAUUUGCUGCAAAGUCGUACAAAAUGUUGGUCUGCAAGCCUCUUCCAUCAUAUCUUUCCUCUUCUCUAUCAUCAUAUCUGCAGUCUGAUUCUACACCAAGCCCGCCCUUAUCUUACUCCAUAAAGAUCCUCAAAUUUCGAUACCUGCUGCUCUUAUUUGCGUAUGGAUUCUUGAAUAACAUAUUGAGAUUUCUUCAGGCAUCUUUUGUCAUUCCAUUGGUUUUUCUCCUGAAGUCUCGCUACUGAUGAGUACAUUUGUGGUUUACUUUCAUCUAUAGAAAUCAUCAUUUCAUAUAUAAGCAAAUUUUGUUUGAUCUAUUAAUUGUGUCCAAAAUAAUUGUUGUAAAUUUUGUACUGGAUUUAUGAGUGCUUUCAUUUUUAUUUUUAUUUAAUUUGUUAUCAAAAUUUUAUAAGUGGUUGGCAGGAGAAAUGAAAAAAUAAAUUACAGACCAGAAAAAAGAGAAAUAAAAAAAAUAAAUUGAUGAUAAGAAGAUUGUUGAAAAUAAACUGUUUUUGGCUUAUCCAAUCAGCCACGGUUAUCUGGCUGUCCAAACAUUGUAUUGGAUAAGAAAUAGGCAUUCGCAAAUCUAAUCUAGUCAAGGUCUGACAAGAUUAAUUAGAAAUCAUGUCUAGUCCGUGUUACGAAACGCCUCCAAUGUAUCAAAUGGUUAAGUUAGGGAUCUGAAUUGUAUAAUGAUUUUAUACUAAUUGGUUUCUUUUUUGGGAGGAGUCUAAACCUUAGUUGAAUCCUAUAUAAACCUGGUCCCUACACACUCUAUCCACCAGUUGCUAAAAGUCUAGUCCUAGAUAUAGAAUAGAGUGUUGUGUAGAAGAUCGGAGUUUGGAAUAUCAAUGACCUCUAGUUCAGGUUUGUUAAAUUCCCUUAAGAACUCUAGUUAAUGUAUUUGCUUAGUUGUGUUUGUUUUGUUUGAUUCUAUAGUAUCUAUUUAUCUUGUGUGUUGAGUUUCUUGUGAUCAAUGGAUUGGGCUAACACAUAUGACCAAUCAAGUUUAAUUGUUUAAACAAUAUUUGCAGACGAUCCGAGUCAUCCGACUUGUUCUCUCUCUCUCAUAGAAUGGCCAAUGUUCUAUUGUUCUUGAAAAUGUGAUGUAAAUUGAUUCAGUUUCAUACAUACAAACAUAUAUUUAUGCCGUAAGUCCAUCGAUCAAAAAAAGUGCUUUAUUCAAGCAAGUUCUUAGAGUUAUAGUUGGAUAGGAAGAUUUACAGAUACAAGCGUACAUCAGCUUAAUUAAUAGCUAAUAUUAUUGUUCGAAAAGUAGAAAGCUCGAUCAACAGAAGAAGGUUUUAGCUAGCUAGAGUUUAAGAUUUUGCCGAAGCAAGAAGUAUUGCUCUUCCACCUUUGAAAUAGGUCAACAUUGCACUGCGAUCAGGAAGGUGCUCUUUGAUUGUGGGGAUGUCCUUGAACCGUUGAAUCCAGGCAUGCAAGCGAGGGAAGGUUUCGGCUUCAAUCCCCUUCACCCCAGCUAGUUCACUCAUGACAUCCAUCCACCAAGCUAGCCACCCGAAUUCCAAAUCAGCCAUUCCAAGCUCAUCUCCUCCGAAAAACUUCUUGUCUCCGAGUCCCUGCUCUUCCAAGAUUGUCAGCUGCUCUUGCCUUUCUUUUGUUGCUUUCACUUGCUGUUCUCCCUCAGUCAUGAAAAAUCCAAACAGGGCUCCGAACUAUGUGACAUGCACAAAACAUCUACAUUACUUCGACUUGAAUAUAAUGCGCGCGAUCUUUUAUUUAUGUUAUGUCGUUAGACCGUCAGUUGUCAACUCGUUAUAUAAACAAACAUGCAUACUUGCAUGCGACUACAAACUACUCAUUUCAUCAUGUAACGUAAUUGAAAUAGUAGUGAUCAUCAAUUACCUUGUCCUCUCCGAACUUUAUCCAGAACCGGGCCAAAGCUCGUUGAUGAGGGUCUUUAGGAAGCAAGGGGUUCUGCGGCCAUGUCUCUUCGAUGUACUCAAGUAUUACAGCAGACUCUGCGAUUGGUUUUCCGGCAUGAACAAGAACGGGAACCUUCUUAUGGACUGGGUUGUACUUCAGAAGACGAUCACUCUUGUUGUGUAACACAUCCUCUUCAACAUACUCGUAGUCUACACCCUUGAGUUUAAGUGCCCAGAUAACCCUGUAAACAUAUGGACUCGACCAAGCUCCUAACACUGUAACUUGUGACAUUUUUGCUGGUUCUGUUAUGAUCCUAGACUGGUUUCUACAUGACUAUAUAUGCCUCGCAUUCAAUUUGGUUACCUUGUGCUUCAAUUAAUCUACAUGGUCGGGAAGGAUUAGAGGCCAAUUUGUCCUUCUUUUGCUAUUGUUUACUCUACUUUUAAAUAUGUAGUUGGUAUAAAAGAGAUAAGAUAUCAUUUUCGCCAAGUUUCUCUUUUAUUUGAGGACCAUAUUUCUCUGGAAAAUACAAAAGACUUGUCAAGCAAGUCAUACUAGACCCUUAAUCUUCCUAAAGUUGACCAGAGUUUGGACUACAUACUUAUAAAAUACAACGAACCCAAUCCUUACGUUGAGGGCAGCUGUUGGUUGUUGUGAAAAGGGAAAGAGACACAUUGUUUACAUAAAUGUAAGAAGUGAUGAAGCUGCUAGGAUUAGGAAUAUGGCUUCUAGUCUCUUACGUUACAAGAGUCAGUGGAUCUAGAAACUUGUUAACAAAGAUCAAAGUCUCUUCCUUUAAACUAUAAUAUAAGGAUUAAAAUCUCUGUGAUAUAUUUGAUAUAUCCUCCGAUAUCUCUAUUUUUUUAAGGACCGAUAUAUCUAGAGUGGUAAAUAUAUUAUCUUCCACUGUAUCUUCCAUAUAUCUAGAGGUGUUGUUCUUAGCGAUUUUAUCAAAGACCACUUUGGGUUUCUUGUUGAUUUUUUAAAUCCUAACCCUUAAACCCUAUACCCUAAACCUAUACCCUAACUAUAUAUAUAUCCUAUACCCUAACUAUAUAUCCUAUAUCCUGUACCCUAAACCCUGUACCCUAAACCCUAGGCCAAACUCAUUAAAAACCCAAGACGGUAAUUUCACAAAACAUAGAAAAACUUAGUUUAUAUUUUAGUUGUAAUAAAUUUACGUGUCAAAAUUUAAUUGACAAGAGAGGACCACGUCAGACUGCCACUUGGUCCUUUGGGAGCAUUUAAAAAUUUCUCCUAAUUGAGUUGAUUGGUUGAGGUGAUUGAUCAAAAGUAUAAAUGAUAUACAAAUCAAGGAUAUAUGUGAUUCUAUAUUAAUUGGUUUCCUUUAUGGGAGGAUUCCAUACUAAUUAGUUGAAUCCUAUAUAAACCUGGUCCCUAUACAGUCUAUCCACCAGUUGCUAAAAGUCUAGUCCUAGAUAUAGAAUAGAGUGUUGUGUACAAGAUCGGAGUUUGGAAUAUCAAUGGCUUCUAAUUCAGGUUUGUUAAUUGAAUUCCCUUAAGAACUCUAGUUAGUGUAUUUGCUUAGUUGUGUUUGUUUUGUUUGAUUCUAUAGUAUUUAUUUAUCUUGUGUGUUGAGUUUCUUGUGAUCAAUGGAUCGAGGCUAACACAUCUGACCAAUCAAGUUUAAUUGUUUAAACAAUAUUUGAAGACGAUCCAAGUCAUCCGACUCUCUCUCUCUCUNNNNNNNNNNNNNNNNNNNNUCUCUCUCUCUCUCUCUCUCNCUCUCUUCUCUCUCUCUCUCUCUCUCUCUCUCUCUCUCUCUCUCUCUCUCUCUCUCUCAUAGAAUGGCCAAUGUUCUAUUGUUCUUGAAAAUGUGAUGUAAAUUGAUUCAGUUUCAUACAUACAAACAUAUAUUUAUGCCAUAAGUCCAUCGAUCAAAAAAAGUGUUUUAUUCAAGCAAGUUCUUAGAGUUAUAGUUGGAUAGGAAGAUUACAGAUACAAGCGUACAUCAGCUUAAUUAAUAGCUAAUAUUAUUGUUCGAAAAGUAGAAAGCUCGAUCAACAGAAGGAGGUUGUAGCUAGCUAUAGUUUAAGGUUUUGCAGAAGCAAGAAAUAUUGCUCUUCGACCUUUGAAAUAGGUCAACAUUGCACUGCGAUCAGGAAGGGGCUCUUUGAUUGUGGGGAUGUCCUUGAACCGUUGAAUCCAGGCAUGCAAGCGAGGGAAGGUUUCGGCUUCAAUCCCCUUAACCCCAGCUAGUUCACUAAUGACAUCCAUCCACCAAGCUAGCCACCCGAAUUCCAAAUCAGCCAUUCCAAUCUCGUCACCACCGAAAAACUUCUUGUCUCCGAGGCCCUGCUCUUCCAAGAUUCUCAGCUGCUCUUGCCUUUCUUUUGUUGCUUUCACUUGCUGUUCUCCCUCAGUCAUGAAAAAUCCAAACAGGGCUCCUAACUAUGUGACAUGCACAAAAUAUCUACAUUACUUCGAUUUGAAUAAAAUGCGCGCGAUCUUUUAUUUAUGUUUUGUCGCUAGACCGUCAGUUGUCAACUCGUUAUAUAAACAAACAUGCAUACUUGCAUGCGACUACAGACUACUCAUUUCAUCAUGUAACGUAAUUGAAAUAGUACGUUGAGUGAUCAUCAAUUACCUUGUCCUCUCCGAACUUUGUCCAGAACCGCGCCAAAGCUCGUUGAUGGGGGUCCUUAGGAAGCAAGGGGUUCUGCGGCCAUGUUUCUUCGAUGUACUCAAGUAUGACAGCAGACUCUGCGAUUGGUUUUCCGGCAUGAACAAGAACGGGAACCUUCUUAUGGACUGGGUUGUACUUCAGAAGACGGUCACUCUUGUUGUGUAACACAUCCUCCUCUACAUACUCAUAGUCUACACCCUUGAGUUUAAGCGCCCAGAUAACCCUGUAAACAAAUGGACUAGGCCAGAAUCCUAACACUGUAACUUGUGACAUUUUUGCUGGUUCCGUUAUGAUCCUAGACUGGUUUCUACAUGUAUAUAUAUGCCUCGCAUUCAACUUGGUUAUCUUGUGCUUCAAUUAAUCUACAUGGUCGGGAAGGAUUAGAGGCCAAUUUGUCCUUCUUUCGCUAUUGGUUACUCUACUUUAAAUAUGUGGUUGGUAUAAAAGAGAUAAGAUAUCGUUUUAAAUACAAAAGACUUGUCAAGCAAGUCAUACUAGACCAUUCAUCUUCCUAAAGUUGACAAGAGUUUAGACUACAUAUAAAAUACAACGAAGCCAAUCCUUACGUUGAGGGCAGCUGUUGGUUGUGAAAAGGGAAAGAGACACAUUGCUUACAGAAAUGUAAGAAGUGAUGAAGCUGCUAGGAUUACAAGAGUCACUGGAUCUAGAAACUAGGGGUCAAGUAUAUGUGAAUCGAAAGAGAAACUUGUUUAGAAGAUCAAAGUCUUCCUGUAAAGUAUAACAUGCUUCGCAAGAAGAUUUUGGUGCUCGUUCGAGGAGCUUAAUUGCUCACUAAAUCCAGAGCUAUACUAAUGAUCAUAUAAUAUCCUCCACCAAAUGAGGGAUGUAAAAACUAUUCUUGUGUUUAAAAAUACUAGCAUCUUACUCCUGCAUUUACACAAGGGAACUCACAAAAUCACUAUAAAUGGUUAAUUUUGGUUUGUAGGCUUGGUUUUUGACGUUGGAAUUACAUACUGCUACCUUAAAUAGUUGCAUAAUACACAAAACCUAUAUUUUAAAAUAUUUAAACAAAUAAUGCCAGAAGCCCAAGCUCGUAAAGAAUAGUAUCAGGCUUGAUCUGUAACGUUGAUGUGAAAAUGACUGAAAACCCGUGUUUUAUGAAAUAACUACAACAUUGACAUUGACAGAAACCAAAACCGUUCUCUCUCUCUCUCUGAUCCCUAAAAUCGUCGAUAUCUUUCUCACCAUUCCAAAACCAAGUGCUAUUGUUUGGUCACAAUAUUUCCAAAACCAUGUUGUAUCAUCACAAUAUUACUCCUUACAAGACCAAACAAGAGGAGCUGAACCAAGUUGAAGCAAGGAAUCGAGUCAAUCGGGUCACGGAUUGAGUGGCAGCGAAUCGGGUUGGCUGGGUUUGGGAUUAGAGAUUGAGUAGUAGUGGUAGUGAUUCGAUUUGGGAAUUUGUAAUUUAGAUCUCAACAGACCUUAUAAUCAGAAACAGAGAAGUAUGUAAAUGGCGAGGAGCUUGACGACUUAGAAAGGGGUGGUGGUAGAGUAGUCGGUCUCGUUGAUGAUGAGUUUGUAGCUUUUGAGGGUUAUGUUCAGAUCUUACUGCUACUGAUGCCAUGACGAUCAUGUCAUGCUGCUACUGUUGUAGAUUUCAGGUUUUGCUGCUACUGCUGCCAUGACUAUUAGGUUAUGUUGCUACUGUUGUAGAUUUUACUACUACUGCUACUUAUGGUCAGGUCUUGCUGCUACUGUUGUCGGUGUUUAAUUUGGGUUUCUUAUUGAAUUUGAAGUUGCAGAUGAAUAUGAUGUGGGUUGCUUAAAAAUCUGAAACUAGUGGACGAGAGAUUUGACUUGGGUGAUUUGUCAAGGUUUGUGUUAGUAACGUGAAAGUUGAUAAGUCUUAGAGCAAGUCCACCGGUGACAAAAAAAAUCCGACCCAGGUUGGAUCACAUAGACAAAGUGACACAGCCUAAAAAUAGUUGCUUCCACCCAUGAAAAUUUUGGGGCGAGUAUUGUAACCCAGGUGAGUUUGGGUUAAAUUUUAUGCGAGUAUAGUAACCCAAAAUCUAACCCAGGCUAAUUAAUUCCUCAACCGCCACAUCAGCAAAAGAGCCCAACGUGGCUGACGUUAGACAGGGCCAUUCUCUUUCUCUCUCUACUUCUUUACUCGCCAGUGGCUCGUGUGAAGAGCAGUGGCUCAUAUAUAUAUAUGCCGCAUGACCACGUGAGGAGCACUGCUCAUGGAGAAGACAUACAAUGUAGCUGGGACCCAUUAGAUAUUAUUAAAUGUAAAAAUGUAAAAAUAUCAAGUAAAACCAUUAAUUACAAAAAAAAAAAAAUACGUAAAAACUAGGGUUACAUCAAUUAGAAAAAAAAAAAUUCUAUAAGAUGUAAACUACAGGAAAACUAUAUAAACUGUUAUGAAAAAUUCCCUAGCGUUUAUAAAUAAUUUCUUAUAUCCCUAGCUAACCAAUUUAGAUUGUGUAUUUUUUUUAUUAUGUUUGUGUUUUCAUCCUUACAAAAUUUCAAAUAAUUGUAAACUUUUUUAGGCUUGGCUUGUCAAUUAAAUGUCAAGAAAUAAAAAAAAUUCAAUAAGUCAUAUUUUUUUAUGUAAUUACUAUUUAUUUACAACUAAAAUAAUUAUUCACACUUAAAAACGUUUUUUUAAAAUUCAAUAAACAGUCACUGUCACGUGUCAGCAAUCCCACAUUUUAAACGGGUGGAAACUGCUGCCCAAUCAUAGUGACUCAGAGUGACCCAGGUCACUGUGUUCAAUAUAACUCAACGGGUGAACUUGCUUUUAGUAGCUUAUAGUUGUUGAAAAAUAUAUACAACUAACAGAGCAAUAGCUUAGCUAAAUAAGAGUAGUAGUAAGUUUUUACUUGUAUCAUGAGAUGUGAGCAUAAAAACUAGCAUAGAAGAAGCACAACUAAUAUUCAUCUCAUCUACCUUUUCAUAGUAGCAUAGUAACAUUCAGUAAUAGUAGUAGCAACACAAUAACAUUCGGUAACAACAGUAUCAGAAACAUUUCAAUCGACAAUAACAACAACAAUAUUCCAGUAGACAAUAACAAGAACAUUGCAAUAAACAGUAGCAUCAACAUUCUAACAAGUGUAGUAGCAUCUAAAGCAAGACAUGAUGUGGUCUGAUUUAAUUUGAUUUUUAUUAGAAAAGACAAAAAGGACAAGAUUUAAUCUUUAAACAUAAAUUUGAUAGUUGAAACAUGAGUCACAUAUUUUAUCAAGUGUUUCAGAGAUCAACAGAAGAGAUUUCUUUACUCAUAUGACCAAUUAAUUUAAACUAUAUUUUAGACAAUUCGACUUGUUUUAAGUUAUUUAUCUCUCUCUCUCUCUCUCAUCUUGAAGGAAUGGCCAAUUAAUGUUCUUGAAAAUUUGAUGUAUAUUGAAUAAUUGAUUCUGUUUCAAACAUAUAUCUAUGCCAUAAGUCCAUAAAAAUAAGUGUUUUAUUUAAUCAAGUUCUUCGAGUUAUAGUUGGAUAAGAAAAUUAAAGAUACAAGCGUACAUCAGCUAAUAGAUAAUAUAAUUGUUCGAAAAGUAGAAAGCAAGCAGGAGAUUUUAGCUAUAGCUAGAGUUUAAGAUUUUGCCAAAGCAAGAAAUGUUGCUCUUCGACCUUUGAAAUAGGUCAACAUUGCACUGCGAUCAGGAAGGGGCUCUUUGAUUGCAGAGAUGUCCUUGAACCUUUGAAUCCAGGCAUGCAAGCGAGGGAAGCUUUCGGCAUCAAUCACUUUAACUCCAGCUAUUUCACUCAUGACAUCCAGCCACCAAGCUAGCCACCCGAAUUCUAAAUCAGCCAUUCCAAUCUCAUCUCCUCCAAAAAACUUUUUUUCGCCGAG